UGAGGAAUAUUGGUCAAUGGGCGAAAGCCUGAACCAGCCAUGCCGCGUGCAGGAAGAAGGCCCUAUGGGUUGUAAACUGCUUUUGUUCGGGACGAGCAUGCAUAUGUAUAUGCAAAUGACGGUACCGGAAGAAUAAGCACCGGCUAACUCCGUGCCAGCAGCCGCGGUAAUACGGAGGGUGCAAGCGUUAUUCGGAUUUAUUGGGUUUAAAGGGUGUGUAGGCGGUUUAGUAAGUCAGUGGUGAAAUCGG
rnacentral:rRNA from 1 species